UAUCCUUGCAAAGGUAGUAACCCUUUCUGCUGUUGCUGACCUGAGCACGGAGAGGACCCUGAAGACACACUGGCUCAGAUCUCAACUCACAGCAGGCAGUUUCCACCGGUGACAAGCCCAGCUUCUUAUACGAGUGUAAUACAUCCCUUAAGAUGAACCAAAAGAAAGCUGAGAUCUGAUGCUGCAUUUCACACACCUCGGUAGACCAAAUCCUGUUCAUCGCCACAACUGACUGCCUCUGUUACCUAAGUUGAAAUGACAGCCCUAAAUAUUUAAACCCCUAAAAUACAUUGCACUGUAAGUAGGGUUCACUUAUUCCUGUAUCACAGAAGUCUUGCUGAGGCUUUCCUGUGGAAGCCCAUAGCAGAGGAGCAGAGUACGUUGGUGGCUCUCCUUUUGCAGAAUGAGGCAAAAGAGGAAAAGUUUCAACCUACUUGCACACUUGAUAUGAUGCUUGACCAUCAUAUCAAGCCCAGGGGCUGUUGUGUGACCAGCACUGUUGCUAAUCUCAGCAUCAAGGCUUGUGUUCAGCAGUUCUUCCAAGCCAUUAAGAAACACUGACCUGAAGAGCUGUGUACAGCUUUUAGAUUGAGACUUUCCCUGGAUAAAAUGAAGAAGUGGACCACAAAGUGUUGUGGAUUUUUUUUUAAGAAAAGGUAGGAAUUUCUACACGCUUUGGCAUCUUAAGGUCCAUAUAAGCAUGAGGACUAAAGAGGGGUGACACUGAAGAACUUCCCAGCUUGGGAUAAGUACUAAUAUGUUGUAAUAGUCAAUAGGUGUUGAGGAUCUGACAUGAUUUCCUGUUAGAAAUCACCUUCCUGCGCUCUCCCACCCUUCUUCUCUGCACAUCAUGGCUGUCUUAACAAAAAAGAGGCUUCUCUAUUCAUGCCUUCUGUUUGUUAGCUGCUACUUUCUUCCCUCCUUUUUUUUUCUUUGAAGAAAUCUACCAUUGAGGCUUUUCAAGCUAUCUAUCUAUCCAUUCAUUAUUAUUUAUUAUUUAUUUCCCCUCUCCUGUAAGGGUGAAAGGGAGUUUGUCUUCAGAUGACUUGAGGCUUCAGCUGAUGGUAAGGUAAGCAAAGAAAAAUGCUAUGGCUUAUCAAAAUGUUAAUGCCUAUAAAUAAAAAGGAAAAUAAUAAUUUAAAAAAUCUUGCAAUUAAAAAAAUCCUUAAAUUACCUCUGAAAAUUAUUUCUGUUAAAGCUAUGGAUUUCAUCUCUAGUAUACAAAUGACAGUUCUAUGCGAUUUGCUUAUCGUAGUAGAUGCUGGCAUAUCUCUAUCUGUUCUAUUCAUCUCCAUGAGCUCCAUGCUUGUAAACUACAAUUCAUUUUUUCCCUCAAGUUGUUUUUCCCAUCCCACAGGAUGGUUGUAGGAGACUUGGUUUUCAGCUGACCUGCUGUGAGUUGGGACUUGCUUGACAGAAUACCUUUAUUACCUAGACCAAAGUAGCAACUGCUUUCUCCUCCUUCCUACACUGUUCAAGUGAGUUCAACACCAUCGCAUUGCUACAGUCAAGACCUCCUAAAAAUGCACUUCUGUAAUAAAAACUCACCAGUUAAUGCUGGAGAAAGAGGA